rnacentral:rRNA from 1 species
UACGAAGGGGGCUAGCGUUGCUCGGAAUCACUGGGCGUAAAGGGUGCGUAGGCGGGUCUUUAAGUCAGGGGUGAAAUCCUGGAGCUCAACUCCAGAACUGCCUUUGAUACUGAAGAUCUUGAGUUCGGGAGAGGUGAGUGGAACUGCGAGUGUAGAGGUGAAAUUCGUAGAUAUUCGCAGGAACACCAGAGGCGAAGGCGGCCGGCUGGACCUGACCUGACGCUGAGGCGCGAAGGCGUGGGGAGCGAACGGG